rnacentral:rRNA from 1 species
AUUGAACGCUGGCGGCAGGCCUAACACAUGCAAGUCGAGCGGAUGAAGGGAGCUUGCUCCUGGAUUCAGCGGCGGACGGGUGAGUAAUGCCUAGGAAUCUGCCUGGUCGUGGGGGAUAACGUCCGGAAACGGGCGCUAAUACCGCAUACGUCCUGAGGGAGAAAGUGGGGGAUCUUCGGACCUCACGCUAUCAGAUGAGCCUAGGUCGGAUUAGCUAGUUGGUGGGGUAAAGGCCUACCAAGGCGACGAUCCGUAACUGGUCUGAGAGGGUGAUCAGUCACACUGGGACUGAGAAACGGGCCCGACGCCCUCGGGGGGCAGCCGUAGGGAAUAUUUGGAAAUGGGGGAAAGCCCGACGCCGCCCAGCCCCGGGUGUGAGAAAGGGCUUCGGGUCUUAAAACCCUUUUAUGUUGGGAGAAAGGGCGUGUAAUUAAUUACGUACUUUUUUACGGUUCCCAAACAGAAAGCCACCGGUAACUCUCUG